rnacentral:lncRNA from 1 species
GGUGAAGAGAGCAUCGCUAAACGAAGACAGGGAGAUUAAUUCCCAAAGAAGGUAAUUGAUUGAUGAUGAAGCAUCCCUAAGUUAGAGAGAUGGUAAAAUUUCCAUAAGCUAGCUGCACUCACCUCAUCUUCCUAACUCUGCUGCUUCCUCUGUGUUUGUUGCUUCCUCUGUGUUCAUGUAGACAGUUUGAUUGAAGGACUAGACUACACGGCGGCGUUCCCCACAUAAACAGCAGCAGUGGCGCCCGCUUCCCACGCGCCCGCGCACGUUUUCUGCUCGCGUCUCCCGCGUGUUGCCCGCGCACGUCCGCGCACCAGCCCAGCAGCUCACAAACCCAGGCCAACUAGCUAGGAGCGAGAUUGGCAAAGCUACCCAGCCCAGCUCCAGUCACAGCAUAACCCAGCCAAGCACCGUAGCUUCCAUUUUCAUGUGCACGAGUGGCCACUCCAUCUUGUUUUAGGUUUUUUCUUUUCUUUUCUAAAUUGCACAUAUUUUCCACGUUAUAAUUUUUUUACGGAUCUACUAGUCACAGCAGAACCCCUAAAUUGCGCAGAAAAAAAGCAGAGCCCCUAAAAUGUUGUGUCACUUUCACAUAUCACGAAAUCAUACUUGCCAAUUUCUCUAUAUAUUGCACGAUAUACACUACUUACCGACUUGCUAGUUUAUGUAAGCAUACUUGCAAAUAUAGUUGUAUUCACUUGUAACUUUUUUCGAUACCUAUUAGCUAGUUCAGACAUACUUACUGACUUAUCCACACCUACUUGUCAGGUUAAUUGUACUUACUUGACACAUUAGCAACACCUAAUUACUGGCUUAUUCAUACAUACGUGUCAGGUUAGUUAUGUCUACUUGCCAGAUUAAUUGUGUCUACUUGCCAGGUUAAUUGUACCUACUUGCCAU